AACGAACGCUGGCGGCGUGCCUAACACAUGCAAGUCGAACGAGAAAACCCUUCGGGGUGAGUAAAGUGGCGCACGGGUGAGUAACACGUGGGUAACCUUCCCUAAAGACUGGGACAACCUUCCGAAAGGAGGGCUAAUACUAGAUAAGACCACAGGGUCUGCGGACCUAGGGGUAAAAAGAUGCAGCAAUGUAUCGCUAUAGGAUGGGCCCGCGUCGCGUUAGCUAGUUGGUGGGGUAAAAGCCUACCAAGGCUACGAUGCGUAGCUGGUCUGAGAGGACGGCCAGCCACACUGGAACUGAGACACGGUCCAGACUCCUACGGGAGGCAGCAGUGGGGAAUAUUGGACAAUGGGGGAAACCCUGAUCCAGCGACGCCGCGUGGGUGAUGAAGGCCUUCGGGUCGUAAAGCCCUGUUGGGGGGGACGAAACAGCGAAUUAACAAACCGCCUUGACUUAACCCCCUGAGGAAGCACCGGCUAACUCUGUGCCAGCAGCCGCCGUAA
rnacentral:rRNA from 1 species